rnacentral:rRNA from 1 species
GAGUUUGAUCCUGGCUCAGAUUGAACGCUGGCGGCAUGCCUUACACAUGCAAGUCGAACGGCAGCACGGGAGCAAUCCUGGUGGCGAGUGGCGAACGGGUGAGUAAUGCAUCGGAACGUGUCCUGUAGUGGGGGAUAGCCCGGCGAAAGCCGGAUUAAUACCGCAUACGAUCUGUGGAUGAAAGCGGGGGCUCCUUCGGGACCUCGCGCUACAGGGGCGGCCGAUGGCAGAUUAGCUAGUUGGUGGGGUAAAGGCCUACCAAGGCGACGAUCUGUAGCUGGUCUGAGAGGACGACCAGCCACACUGGGACUGAGACACGGCCCAGACUCCUACGGGAGGCAGCAGUGGGGAAUUUUGGACAAUGGGCGAAAGCCUGAUCCAGCAAUGCCGCGUGUGUGAAGAAGGCCUUCGGGUUGUAAAGCACUUUUGUCCGGAAAGAAAACCUCGUGGUUAAUACCCGUGGGGGAUGACGGUACCGGAAGAAUAAGCACCGGCUAACUACGUGCCAGCAGCCGCGGUAAUACG